rnacentral:lncRNA from 1 species
AUAUAUAUAUAUGUAUGUAUGUAUGUAUGUGUCUGUGUGUAUCUCUAUGCAUGUGAAUUCCCAAGUUUUACAGUCCCAGUUAAUUCUUUUCACUUAUUAGCAAAUGCACCUCAUAAAAAAGUACCAAAAAUAAUAGAAGGAAAUGAAAACGGAAACCAGAAAAAAAUUAAGAGGUGAAUCAGAAUGAAUUGGAGGAUUUAAUUCCAAAUUUAAAUGAAGGAAAUUGAAAUGUACCCAGAUGAAUAAAAUUGCACAAAAUCUUUUCAGAGAUUCUCUCCUGUGAUUCUCUAUCGAAAAUGCAAUCACUCAUAGAUAUGGGUUCUUUAUACAGUCAAAAUAUAUAACCUUUUAAUUGAGAUUAAAAUGCAUCACAAAAAAUGGAAAAAAAACUAAAAUUUAUCAGGUAUGUGAAACUCACCGAUCUCUAUAUAUAGCUGUUAUCCAUAUAGCCGGAGGGUAUAAUCUUUGGAACCAGUCAAUGCCGUAGAGCCAAGUCAGCUUCGUUGUAACAGGAGAAUUUUAGAGAGAGAAGAGAAGAGAGUUUUAGAGAGAGAGAGAGAGG